UGACGCUGAGGCUCGAAAGCGUGGGGAGCAAACAGGAUUAGAUACCCUGGUAGUCCACGCCGUAAACGAUGGGCACUAGAUAUCGGGGAAUUCGAUUUCUUCGGUGUCGCAGUUAACGCGAUAAGUGCCCCGCCUGGGGAGUACGCCCGCAAGGGUGAAACUCAAAGGAAUUGACGGGGGCCCGCACAAGCGGUGGAGCAUGCGCUUUAAUUCGAUGCAACGCGAAGAACCUUACCUGGGUUUGACAUGGGAGUGAAAGUUCCUAGAGAUAGGAACCUUUCCUUCGGGAACACUCCACACAGGUGCUGCAUGGUUGUCGUCAGCUCGUGUCGUGAGAUGUUGGGUUAAGUCCCGCAACGAGCGCAACCCUCGCCCUUAGUUGCCAUCAGGUAAUGCUGGGAACUCUAGGGGGACCGCCUGGAACAACCAGGAGGAAGGUGGGGAUGAUGUCAAAUCAUCAUGGCUCUUACGUCCAGGGCUAGACGCGUGCUACAAUGGUCGGUACAGAAGGAUGCCAAGUCGUGAGACCGAGCUAAUCCAUGAAAACCGGCCUCAGUUCGGAUUGGAGUCUGCAAUUCGACUCCAUGAAGGUGGAAUCGCUAGUAAUCGCGGAUCAGCAUGCCGCGGUGAAUAUGUUCCCGGGCCUUGUACACACCGCCCGUCAAGCCACGAAAGAUGGGAGUACCCGAAGUCGCUUGCCCAACCUGCAAGGGGGGGUGUGCCGAAGGUAAGACCAUUGAU
rnacentral:rRNA from 1 species